rnacentral:rRNA from 1 species
UAAUACGUAGGUGGCGAGCGUUAUCCGGAUUUACUGGGUGUAAAGGGCGAGUAGGCGGGCUUGUAAGUCAGAUGUGAAAUACCGGGGCUCAACCCCGGGGCUGCAUUUGAAACUAUGAGUCUUGAGUGAUGGAGAGGCAGGCGGAAUUCCGAGUGUAGCGGUGGAAUGCGUAGAUAUUCGGAGGAACACCAGUGGCGAAGGCGGCCUGCUGGACAUUAACUGACGCUGAGGAGCGAAAGCGUGGGGAGCAAACAGG